CCCAUCAGCAGGCCUGAUAUCUGCUCUUUUGUGUAAGGAGGAACAAGAUGACCCCUGCCCUCUACAGAAUGAUAAUUUUCAUUUCUGUCAAAUGACGUGGCAUCCUUUCUUUCCCGACCCAGUUCAUAUCCAGCAUGUAAAAACAUGGGAGCAUUCAUCAAUGUGUCACCACUGGCAGCAGAAUUUGAUUAAUUGCACCCAAGAUGCAUUUCAUACAGUCUCCCAACCAUGGACGGAUGAUAAGACUAUUAUUUGGAGUGACUGUUUUCUGACCCUUUUGCUCCCAUUUAGUCAGAUCUGGGAGUGAUGUCUCUGAACAGGAAGAUUACCUUGUGUGGCCUUUAGAGAAGUCAAAUUAAGAU